rnacentral:tRNA from 1 species
UUGAUUCUGCUAAUUCCCAUCUACCUUGACAUGGUAGGGGUCACAGGUUCGAACCCUGUACCGCCCACCA